ACUGUCUGAGCUGAAGAAUCAAA
rnacentral:piRNA from 1 species